rnacentral:lncRNA from 1 species
AGAGAGAGAGAGAUGGCGAAGCUGUUAAAGAACUGACACCAUUGUCAGAGGGAACAAACAGCUGCAAAACGAGGAAACGUCGACUUCCAAAGGUGACACUGUAUGAAGGUUGUGGGAAGGAUGGCAAGGGGGGAUUCCCUCCUCCUCCUCUUCUUCUUCGUCUUCUUCUUCUUCUUCUUCUUCUUCUUCUUCUUCUUCUUCUUCUUCUUCUUCUUCUUCUUCUUCUUCUCUGUCACUGGAAUUCUUUUUCCCUCAUCGCUACCUAAUCCUUAUAUUCUUUACUUGUGGUUGGAUGCCGGGGUUGGAAGAUAAAGCAAUUGAAAGCCAAGCAACCCAACCAACGACCGCCAUUACGCCAGCAAAGCAAGAAUAUUAUUUCUUUUCUUCUGGGAGAGACCGGACUUGGUACAGUGGAUGUCUACCCAACAAUGUGUAGUUUCUGAUAGGGAAGGUGGUGUGGCCGAGGCUUCUACAUUUCGACCUUAUGCUCUUGUAAGGAUGCCAUGCCAUGGAAAUAGACACCAACAUGCAACACAAAGGAUCUCUCGCUCUAUGUGAUGGAUGGUGUUCAUCUCAUAUCUCUCUCUACCUUUGAGUCAAGCACUUUUGGCUAAGCUUGGACAGCUUCAAUAGUAAUAACAUUGGCACUUGUAUCAUCC